UAGGGAAUCUUCGGCAAUGGGGGCAACCCUGACCGAGCAACGCCGCGUGAGUGAAGAAGGUUUUCGGAUCGUAAAGCUCUGUUGUAAGUCAAGAACGAGUGUGAGAGUGGAAAGUUCACACUGUGACGGUAGCUUACCAGAAAGGGACGGCUAACUACGUGCCAGCAGCCGCGGUAAUACGUAGGUCCCGAGCGUUGUCCGGAUUUAUUGGGCGUAAAGCGAGCGCAGGCGGUUUGAUAAGUCUGAAGUUAAAGGCUGUGGCUCAACCAUAGUUCGCUCUGGAAACUGUUUAACUUGAGUGCAAGAGGGGAGAGUGGAAUUCCAUGUGUAGCGGUGAAAUGCGUAGAUAUAUGGAGGAACACCGGUGGCGAAAGCGGCUCUCUGGCUUGUAACUGACGCUGAGGCUCGAAAGCGUGGGGAGCAAACAGGAUUAGAUACCCUGGUAGUCCACGCCGUAAACGAUGAGUGCUAGGUGUUAGACCCUUUCCGGGGUUUAGUGCCGCAGCUAACGCAUUAAGCACUCCGCCUGGGGAGUACGACCGCAAGGUUG
rnacentral:rRNA from 1 species